AAGAAUGAAGUGGGGUUUAGACCCUAAAUGCUUCAGUGUGAGCUGUGAAGCCCCACAGCUUGGCUGGAUCAAUCUGGACUUCGGGCAGAUGCGCACUAAGGGCUGCUUACCUAGAGGAGCCACGUUUCUCCUGGGCAGUCAAGAUAACUGCCAGAGGAGCCACAUGCUGGGUAAAUCCUGAACCCAAAGUGGAAUUUUGCCCUAGUAUAAUGGGUUCAUAUUCGAUUGGCUGCACUUAGCUAUAAAUCCUGAGGAGGAGAAGAAGAAAGACAUCAGAAAGUAAUUGGACUAGAAGAACCUUAGUUUGGAAGCAAAACACAGAAUCCAGAAACUAUGAAGAAAUUUACAUGCACACAUAUGUAUACAAGCCAUGAGAGGGAAAUGGGAAUGUACCUGAGAGUGUCGUCAAAGCGUACAGUGGCUGCACAGUGAAAUAUUAUGUUUGUACAGGAGAGAAGCUCCUGCAUGUCCUCUUUGCUGAUGGCAAAGUCAUUCUGAUUGAGAUCUGCAUAAAUAGCUCUGAUCUUCUCAUGCACAUUUGGACAAACUUCUUUGACUUUCUCAAAUAGCUGAAACAUAAAUAUAGAUCAAUAUACAAAAAAUAGCACCAUCAUUAUCACAUUGUUCUUGUUUAUAACAACCUGCUUAAUUAUACUCAAAAACUGGUUUUAGUUGUAAUAACAUUACUUAAAGAAGACAUCUGGCUGGGCAUGGUGGCAUAUGCCUGUAAUCUCAGCACUUUGGGAAGCCAAAGCAGGGAGAUCACUUGAGCCCAGGAGUUCGACACCAGCCUGCGCAACAUGGGUUCUGUGGACUCUUUCACUUUGGCCUGUGAAGACUUCUGACUACUGGAAAGCAAGAAGUAGGAGAUGGUUUCAGCAUCCACCCUUCUCACGAUGGGGUUCCUUACAUAUGAUAAUCUGAUGCCUACCAGAAGAAACUCUGACCCAGACAGGAUCAUUGCAUAAGAGGUUGGUUUUAGAAGUAGAGUUGGCUGAAAUUAAAGUCUCGAGUGACAUGAAGACAGUGUUAAAGAUAAAUCCAAACUCUUCUUUAUUGCUUGACACUUUUCCAAUCAGCAUUGACUUCAUUCCUGGCAAGCUGAUGUAACAUGAAUGAGUUAUGAAGCCAAAGAUCGCAAGAAGAGCACACUUCUUAACAGCCACUUCAGAGGUGACAGCCAGGGAAUAAGAAAUAAGGAAGAACUUUCCAGAGGAUGGAGCCACCACAAAUAAUAAUGGAAAAGAAGGUUCCUCCCAGAGAUUAGAUUUAGAGGCUAUUUAAGGAAUUUCCCCACUCCCAGUGUAGGAAGCUUCUCAAUACUCGCUAAUCAGGAUUUCCUUAUGGUUAUAUUCUAGGGACUGCUGCUUGCCUGCCUGUCUUCUCUUUUUUGAAUAGAAGGUGUCUUUGUUUGUUUGAUUUUAUUUUUUCUUCAACUUCGCUGUUCUACAAUGACAAGAGAUAGAACAGAGACAUUUUCUACCUCAACAUUGGGAGGCAGAAAAUUCACCUUUUUAUCCAAGAAUACCAAACCAGAAGCUGAAAUAUCUGGAUCUGAUAGAGAGGAUAGUCUAUUCCCCCUUGGACUUUGGACUGGAUGCAAUAAUGGUAUGAGACCCUGGGGUAGGAAUGAGUGUCUUCUAUGUGUGGGAAAGAGAGGAAAGCAGAUAUUUGGCGACCUAAAAAGAAGGCCAUGGCAGAACCUCAUUAGUUGUUCAACAAUCCUAUUUUCCUUUUCUCCUGGACACACAGCUAUGCAUUUUCCAGCCAUCCUUGUGGUUAGAUGCCCAGUGACAGUUCUGAGAAUGGAAUAUGGACAGAUGUGAUAGGCACUUCUGGGCCUGGGCCACAAAAACCUUCCACAUGAUGUCCAGUGCCUCUUUUACCCCACUGACAGUUUUUUAUUGUCAUCCAGAGAGACCUUGGAUGGUUUAGAAGCCAUGUGUAGAAGAUGGCAACCUUCCCUUAGCAUGGAUCCUUGAAUGACUGUGGAGUGCAAUGCCUUCUACCAAUUACACCUACUGUGUUUGAGAAUCAAAUUUCAUUUGUAUUAAGCUACUGAUUUGGGGGGUUUAUCUCCUUCAGCACCCACAUUAGUACAACUCAUGCAGAAUGGAGAGUUAAUGUGAACACAUAUGGCACAGACUGGUGAAACCUAGGACUUUAAGAUGAUAGAUGAAUUUCUGAUUAUACUUUCCUUUCCCGCAAAAAGUUUUUUUCAAAUUAAAUGUUGUAAUAU
rnacentral:lncRNA from 1 species